AUUGAACGCUGGCGGAAUGCUUUACACAUGCAAGUCGAGCGGCAGCGCGGGGCAACCUGGCGGCGAGCGGCGAACGGGUGAGUAACACAUCGGAACGUGCCCAGACGUGGGGGAUAGCCCGGCGAAAGCCGGAUUAAUACCGCAUGUGAUCUGAGGAUGAAAGUGGGGGACCGCAAGGCCUCACGCGUUUGGAGCGGCCGAUGGCAGAUUAGGUAGUUGGUGGGGUAAAGGCUUACCAAGCCUGCGAUCUGUAGCUGGUCUGAGAGGAUGAUCAGCCACACUGGGACUGAGACACGGCCCAGACUCCUACGGGAGGCAGCAGUGGGGAAUUUUGGACAAUGGGCGCAAGCCUGAUCCAGCCAUUCCGCGUGCAGGACGAAGGCCUUCGGGUUGUAAACUGCUUUGUACGGAACGAAAGGGCUCUCUCUAAUACAGGGGGCAUAUGACGGUACCGUAAGAAUAAGCACCGGCUAACUACGUGCCAGCA
rnacentral:rRNA from 1 species